AGCGAACGCUGGCGGCAGGCUUAACACAUGCAAGUCGAGCGGGCACUUUCGGGUGUCCGCGGCGGACGGGUGAGUAACGCGUGGGAACGUGCCCUCUGGUUCGGAAUAACUCAGGGAAACUUGAGCUAAUACCGGAUACGCCCUUUUGGGGAAAGGCUUGCUGCCGGAGGAUCGGCCCGCGUCUGAUUAGCUAGUUGGUGAGGUAACGGCUCACCAAGGCGACGAUCGGUAGCUGGUCUGAGAGGAUGAUCAGCCACACUGGGACUGAGACACGGCCCAGACUCCUACGGGAGGCAGCAGUGGGGAAUAUUGGACAAUGGGCGCAAGCCUGAUCCAGCCAUGCCGCGUGAGUGAUGAAGGCCUUAGGGUUGUAAAGCUCUUUUAUCCGGGACGAUAAUGACGGUACCGGAGGAAUAAGCCCCGGCUAACUUCGUG
rnacentral:rRNA from 1 species